UGUUUCAAAAAGAAAAGAAAAGAAAAGAAAAGAAGAAAAGAAAAGAAAAGUCCCCUGUGUCCCGGCCUUGCCCUGACCUCCGGCAGGGGCCGCUCUAAGUCAUCUCUGGAACAUUCCGACCCUUCCCAUUUAGCGUCUGGAAGAGAGAAGGUUCUCAGAAAUGAUCACAGCACAACUCAAUGAAUUUUAAAAACCCACAGCAGGGCCCAGGAUUUAGCUCAGUGGUUUUGCUGCCUGCUGCGCAAGCUCAAGGACCCGAGUUCAAUCCCCGGUACCAAAAAGCCCAAACCAAAACAAAAAAACCCACAGCAGCCCCCCAGAAUUCUGGGCAUCCCUAUCGGAAGGCUCAGAAGGAUCUGGGAACAGUAAUCUUUCCCGGCUCAGCUCCACGCAUGGAAUGGGAAGAGCAUCCUUGCUUGAGUUUGUUGACCGAAGCUAAGACCGUACAGAUAGAGAAGAAUCCUCAGUCUUUCUAUAUAGGUUGUUUACUUUUUAUCUGGCUGAUUUCUGGUUUAUUUUGUUCUUCCAGCCCUCAUCAAGGUGGGUGGACUCAAGGAAAGUGGGGACAAAAAUGACGUAAUUUCCAGAGGCACUGACCAGGGCGGGCAGAUUAGGGCUCCUUCCUGCUUCUAGAGUUCUGGGUUCCGGGAAGUUUCGUGUGUCAUUAAAGAAACUGGAUCUCACUUCUAGCGAACUCGGGACCCUGGCCCAGUGUGUCUGUUCACCCUCAUCUCUGUGGAUGUGAACUCAGACUGCAGCUACGGGGAACAACUGAGGUCUGAGAAACAGCUCUCAGAAGGGAAUGAAAGACACAGCAGGCUACUCUUGAAAUAGUCACCUGGGGUCCCACUCCAGAGCUGGCCUGGGGCUGCCCUUUCACUGGUUUUGCACUAGGAAUGCUUGUUAGCCACAUGUGAGUGACCAGGCCAGUUCAUGAAAUUGAGGAACCCAGCAGAGGAGAUUAGUGGAACUGGUCCCGUUGAUGGCUCAUCAAUGACCAGGGUGCAGAUUGACUCUGGUGAGUGACCGGGCCAGUUUACGAAAUCGAGGAACCCAGCAGAGGAGAUGAGUGGAACUGGUCCCAUUGAUGGCUCAUCAAUGACCAGGGUGCAGCUUGCCUGGCAAGGACUGAGAUGAAGACUGUGUGUUGGGGACGGGGAUUUAGCUCAGCUGUUCUGCGACCUGCCUUGUAAGCACAAGGUCCCGAGUUCGAUCCUCGGUACCAAAACAACAACAACAACAACAAAAAACCCUGUGUGUUGGGGGUCUUGGGUGUUUUAGCUGGGGACACGAUCAGGACCUUUCGCUCAGCUCCUUGGAUACCUUUUGCAGCUCACCAACCCUUCUUGUUGGCUGUUAGCACAAACCAUGUACUCUCUGUCCAACUGUGUGGGCCUGAAGCUGUGUCGGCAAAGCUCCUGUGUGAGGGAAACGUCCACCUGAUCGCACAGGGCCCCCUCUCGGCCUCCACGCAUCUCCUCUGCCCCUGCUGCAAGCCUGUGGCUGAGGACACCCGGGGGGACCCCAGAGAACCUGUGGAUGUGUUUUGUUUGGCCCUGUGGUGUUAUGUUUUUGCUUUCGAAGUUGAACUGGUUGUCCAAGUCUAAAAACUGAUAGGUUCUUAUGAUCCAAAUUUCUGGCUGUUAGGAAAAAGGAAAAGAAGAAACAGAGGUACGAGCUCAGUAGGACAGGUUUAUUGUCCAACAAACUUGAGAGGGACCACUCUGGCACUGGAGACCAGAUGAGGUGCUCUCCUACAGGCUACAGGGUCUUUUGUAGAGCCAUGGGGAGGGCGGAGUUCAGUGAGAGGGGGCUGUGGCUCCUUGCCAAAAACAAGGCUUGACAGAGCACAUGGUACUGGUUGCCCAAGGAUGAGGCCUGGGAAAGCGCAGGGAGCAGUGGCUGCUAUCAGUAGCUGGGCUGAUAGUGUUGUGAGUCCUCAGGUGCAGCUGUGCUGUAAGGGGGCAGUUUACAGGGGUCUCUGAUCAGGAUGGCGAUGGUCAGAUUCCUUCAUUGGAUUUUCUUGAAAAAUAGAAGAUUUGGCAACACUGAAGCUGCAUUCCCUCCCGGCACCAUCAUCCAGAUUUGGCUGGAGACCCUCCCUUCAGAUGGGACCCCCAUCUCAGAGCCUCAUGAGCUCACCUGGCUCUGGAGUCAUUUUGACCCGAGGUGCAGUGCCCGGACACCUGCUUUGGGCACUGGCAAAGAGCACAGCCACAGGUAUUCUGUUCCUUUGGGCUUGGCCUUCCUCUUCUCUGAGAAAUGGUAUCAGCAGGCCAGUGAUUUCUGCAGAUUUUUCUCUCAGAUUUUAUGCAUGUAUGUAUGUAUGUAUGUAUGUAUGUAUGUAUUUAUUGAGACAGAGUCUUGCUAUGUAGUUCAGGCUGGCCUUGAACUCUCAGCAAGCCUCCUGCCUCAGCCUCCCAGGUGCUGGGAUUAUAGGCGUGUGCCACCAAACCAGGCUCAAGGACAUAUCUCAUGUUGGCAGUCAGUCCUCCUUUUAGGAUUGAGGGGAUGGGUCUCUGUUUGAAAUUUGUCUCUCUGCACUGUUUCUAGAUUCUUUAAAGUCUAAGGGAAUUCUGUGAGGACAAAGGGGAAUUUGUAACAACUCCCAUAAUAUAUCAAGUAUAAUUAAUGCUAAAUUUAUCCAAUUUAUGUGCUCACCAAACAAAACUUAGAAAAUAAAAAUGUCU